UACAGAGGGUGCAAGCGUUAAUCGGAAUUACUGGGCGUAAAGCGCGCGUAGGCGGCUGAUUAAGUCGGAUGUGAAAGCCCUGGGCUCAACCUAGGAACUGCAUUCGAUACUGAUCGGCUAGAGUAUGAGAGAGGGAGGUAGAAUUCCACGUGUAGCGGUGAAAUGCGUAGAUAUGUGGAGGAAUACCGGUGGCGAAGGCGGCCUCCUGGCUUAAUACUGACGCUGAGGUGCGAAAGCGUGGGGAGCAAACAGG
rnacentral:rRNA from 1 species